AGCAGCAGCCGCGGGAAUACAGAGGGUGCGAGCGUUAAUCGGAUUUACUGGGCGUAAAGCGUGCGUAGGCGGCUUUUUAAGUCGGAUGUGAAAUCCCUGAGCUUAACUUAGGAAUUGCAUUCGAUACUGGGAAGCUAGAGUAUGGGAGAGGAUGGUAGAAUUCCAGGUGUAGCGGUGAAAUGCGUAGAGAUCUGGAGGAAUACCGAUGGCGAAGGCAGCCAUCUGGCCUAAUACUGACGCUGAGGUACGAAAGCAUGGGGAGCAAACAGGAUUAGAUACCCGGGUAGUCCCUGUCUCUUAUAC
rnacentral:rRNA from 1 species